GCGGUCGUGGCGGAAUGGCAGACGCGCUAGGUUGAGGGCCUAGUGGGGGCGACCCCGUGGAAGUUCGACUCUUCUCGACCGCACCA
rnacentral:tRNA from 1 species